UACAGAGGUCCCAAGCGUUGUUCGGAUUUACUGGGCGUAAAGGGUGCGUAGGCGGUCGGAUAAGUCUGAUGUGAAAUCUCCGGGCUCAACCCGGAAAUGGCAUUGGAUACUAUUCGGCUGGAGAGUUGGAGGGGGGACUGGAAUACUUGGUGUAGCAGUGAAAUGCGUAGAUAUCAAGUGGAACACCAGUGGCGAAGGCGAGUCCCCUGGACAACUUCUGACGCUGAGGCACGAAAGCUAGGGGAGCAAACAGG
rnacentral:rRNA from 1 species